CCAUGCAAUUGCUUGAAUGUAAUGGUCUUCAUAAAUUGAUCUGUCAAAAUUGUAUUUCAUAAUACGGAUGGAUAGAGCAGAAAAACAAGGUCCAAUUAGCAGCAUCUCUAGAGAGAGAUAGUAUGUAUGAGUCCCUGCCCACAUAUUUAUCUCAAUACAUAGGGGAUGGAAAGCAAUAAAAUGACCACGUGAAUUGUUACCAGGCAAAUCGAAGAGGGGCACAUCAUACAAUGUAUAUAAUGUAUAAUUCUAAAAACACUGAGCUAUUCUAUGCUGCACAUUAUUUCAAAGCACAUUAUCCUCAUCCUUAGAAGUUCAUUUUUAACUUUUGCUAACUUGACAGAAAGAUGAUGUGUAAGUGGUGUAGCCAUGGUACCGUAUAUUUUUACAGAUUUAUGUUUAAAAUUUCCGACUGAGGCUGGUAAAGAAAAUCAAUAGAUCAUGAUUCUACAGUGAAGCAACAAUCUGGUACUCAGACUGAACAUUAAAACUCUAUGGAUAUAAAUUCAAAAAAAAAAAAAAAGAUUGUAAAGAUCUGUAAA